rnacentral:rRNA from 1 species
AAAGUGGAGGCUAUUGUAACUGAAGAGAACUGGAAAGUUCCACCGUAGAAGGUAAUAGUCCUGUAAGUGAAACGAGAAGACCACGAGUUAUGAUCCAGAGUACCACGAGACACGUGAAACCUUGUGGGAAGCAGGGAGGACCACCUCCCAAGGCUAAAUACUACCUGAUGACCGAUAGUGAAGCAGUACCGUGAGGGAAAGGUGAAAAGAACCCCGGGAGGGGAGUGAAAUAGAACCUGAAACCGUGUGCCUACAACCGCUCAGAGCCCCUUAUGAGGGUGAUGAGGUGCUUUUUGUAGAACGAGCCAACGAGUUACGGUAUGUAGCAAGGUUAAGUACUUAAGGUACGGAGCCGAAGGGAAACCGAGUCUGAAUAGGGCGACUAGUUGCAUGCCGUAGACCCGAAACCGGGUGACCUAUCCAUGGCCAGGUUGAAGCGAGGGUAAAACCUCGUGGAGGACCGAACCACGUUGCUGUUGAAAAAGCAUGGGAUGAGCUGUGGAUAGCGGAGAAAUUCCAAUCGAACCCGGAGAUAGCUGGUUCUCUCCGAAAUAGCUUUAGGGCUAGCGUCGAGUAUGAGUAGUGGAGGUAGAGCACUGAAUGGGCUAGGGGGCAUAGCGCUUACCGAACCUUAUCAAACUCCGAAUGCCACAUACUUUGAGCUCGGCAGUCAGACUACGAAUGAUAAGAUCCGUGGUCAAAAGGGAAACAGCCCAGAUCGUCAGCUAAGGUCCCAAAGUGUAAGUUAAGUGGGAAAGGAUGUGAGAUUUCUAAGACAACUAGGAUGUUGGCUUAGAAGCAGCCAUUCAUUAAAAGAGUGCGUAAUAGCUCACUAGUCGAGAGAUCUUGCGCCGAAAAUGUAACGGGGCUAAACUUACCACCGAAGCUACGGGCUUGAAC